GUGGGCAUAGCGCUGAGCGGGCUCUUCCGCAGUAGCGGGUGCUGUGGGGAGGCAGGGCCUCGAGCGGGCUUUAAGGCAAUUGGCGGGGGGCGCAAUAAGAGACAGGGCGUUGAGAAGCGCGGGUUUUCUUGCAGGCGUGCAGUGGGGAACGGAAAGUCACUGAGUAGGUUGCAUGGCGGGGGAAGGGCGCUGAGGGGCCCUUGCCGGCAGGGGGCGCUGAGGCGAGGGCAGAGCGCACUUUAGCUGAGGUAGCGGGCCUUGCUAGCGGGAGGGGCGCCGCCGCCGGAGACGUUCUAGCCUCUCCUCUCGUUGGCGGUUCUUUUCCCAGCGUCCCGAGCGCGGCAGCAGCGGCAGUUCCAUUCCGUGACCUUCGCCAACCGCCCGUGUGUCUCCGGCUCCAAGAUGUUAAAAUAUUUGACUAAGACGUGGGGCAACAUGAAGAUUUACUACACUACGGUUUACCAGGAAAUAUGGGUUGGGUUGGCCUUAACCACCUAUGCCUAUUACAAACUUUCCUAUGGUAGUAAAAAAGCAGUGGCAGACAAAUCUUCUGCUGCUGGCCAUCAUUAAAUGGCUCUUCGUUGAGUAUGCAUUCCAUGACUUGUCAUCUCUGCUAUAAAUGAAGCAAGCUACCAUCAUAGGGAAGUUAAUUGGACCGCAUAAUCAUUGUACAGUCCUACAACUGUAUAUAAUCCACUGUACUACAUAGGAGGAAUAAAUGUGUUGAGCAAGAA